rnacentral:rRNA from 1 species
GACGAACGCUGGCGGCGUGCCUAAUACAUGCAAGUCGAGCGAAGCGGCGGAUGGGUGAGUAACGCGUGGGUAACCUGCCCUUAAGUCUGGGAUACCAUUGGGAAACAGAUGCUAAUACCGGAUAUUAAAGGAUGGUCCUGCGUUGCAUUAGCUAGUUGGUAAGGUACCGGCUUACCAAGGCGAUGAUGCGUAGCCGAGUUGAGGGACUAAUCGGCCACAUUGGGACGGAGACACGGCCCGAACUCCUACGGGAGGCAGCGGUAGGGAAUCUUCCACAAUGGACGAAAGUCUGAUGGGGCAACGCCGCGUGAGUGAAGAAGGUUUUCGGAUCGUAAAGCUCUGUUGUUGGUGAAGCGGUAAUCAACCAGAAAGGCACGGCUAACUACGUGCCAGCAGCCGCGGUAAUAC